rnacentral:rRNA from 1 species
GUGGGGAAUAUUGGACAAUGGGCGAAAGCCUGAUCCAGCCAUGCCGCGUGUGUGAAGAAGGUCUUCGGAUUGUAAAGCACUUUAAGUUGGGAGGAAGGGCAGUAAGUUAAUACCUUGCUGUUUUGACGUUACCGACAGAAUAAGCACCGGCUAACUUCGUGCCAGCAGCCGCGGUAAUACGAAGGGUGCAAGCGUUAAUCGGAAUUACUGGGCGUAACGCGCGCGUAGGUGGUUUUGUAAGUUGGAGGUGAAAUCCCCGGGCUCAACCUGGGAACUGCCUCCAAAACUGCAUGACUAGAGUACGGUAGAGGGUAGUGGAAUUUCCUGUGUAGCGGUGAAAUGCGUAGAUAUAGGAAGGAACACCAGUGGCGAAGGCGACUACCUGGACUGAUACUGACACUGAGGUGCGAAAGCGUGGGGAGCAAACAGGAUUAGAAACCCCGGUAGUCC